GCUGGGAUAUUGAAACGGUCAUAAUAAAACUUUCAGACAGUUUUUGUAAUGGUUCGAUUCCAUUUCUCAGCUC
rnacentral:tRNA from 1 species